AUUGAACGCUGGCGGCAUGCCUUACACAUGCAAGUCGAACGGCAGCGGGGACUUCGGUCCGCCGGCGAGUGGCGAACGGGUGAGUAAUGUAUCGGAACGUACCAUUGAGUGGGGGAUAACGUAGCGAAAGUUACGCUAAUACCGCAUAUUCUCUCCGGAGGAAAGCAGGGGACCGCAAGGCCUUGCGCUCUUUGAGCGGCCGAUUUCAGAUUAGCUAGUUGGUGGGGUCAAGGCUCACCAAGGCGACGAUCUGUAGCGGGUCUGAGAGGAUGAUCCGCCACACUGGAACUGAGACACGGUCCAGACUCCUACGGGAGGCAGCAGUGGGGAAUUUUGGACAAUGGGGGCAACCCUGAUCCAGCCAUGCCGCGUGAGUGAAGAAGGCCUUCGGGUUGUAAAGCUCUUUCGGCCGGGAAAAAAUCGCAUGGGCUAAUACCCUGUGUGGAUGAUGGUACCGGAAUAAGAAGCACCGGCUAACUACGUGCCAGCCGCCGCAGUAA
rnacentral:rRNA from 1 species